CUAUCAACCACCGCCACGAAACGUCGUCGUCGUCGUCGUCAUCAUUGUCUUCUCGUUGACUUCCUCGAUUAGAUCAGAAUACUGGAAUUUGACUAAUGCCGUUACCAACCAACAUGGAAGCGAAAUUGCUGCGCCAGAUAGUUCUUGCAGGUAUGGCGGAUCUAAAAGAGGAUCAGGAUAAGGCCAAGUGGAAAUAUGCUUUAGAGGUUAGAACACCAUCAGAAAUGGAGGAACCUGGUUCAUGCAUUCUUCGUGCGUUCUACGGAAAAUCAGUCCGGAAUAGGUGGUUUAUAAAGAAGUGUACGAAACGAAUAAGAUGUAUAUGCGAGGUGUCACGGCGAUAGAACCCGAAUGAUUGCCGAAAUUCGUUUCCACGCUAUGCCAUCUUAGUGAAUCAUUGGUUGAUCCACCGCCAAGAUAUAAUCAAGGAACCGGGAAGAUCAUUUGCCGCGUGUCUGGUACAUUUGGAAAGGCCGGAUGGGGACUACCAUCGAUGGAUAUAGAGCAUCUGUGGACGGUGUAAAGUGGUUCGCGUAUUUCUUCUUGGAGGGUCAAGUGUACCCUAAGCUGAAGCGAUUUGUUCCGUCGUUGCUGACG